CUUAGAUGGACUAUAACAUAGUCCCGUAAACA
rnacentral:tRNA from 1 species